CGGGGAGCACACAACAGGUGAGCUGCGGUUUAAUCGGACUCAACGCCGGGAAACUCACCAGAUAAGACAGCUGAAUGAUAGUCGGGCUGAAGACUCUACUUGACUAGCUGAGAGGAGGUGCAUGGCCGUCGUCAGUUCGUACUGUGAAGCAUCCUGUUAAGUCAGGCAACGAGCGAGACCCACGCCAACAGUUGCCAGCUCGUCCUCCGGGAUGGUGGGGACACUGUUGGGACCGCCUCUGCUAAAGAGGAGGAAGGAAUGGGCAACGGUAGGUCAGCAUGCCCCGAAUUAUCUGGGCUACACGCGGGCUACAAUGGGUGGGACAAUGGGUAUCGACACCGAAAGGUGAAGGCAAUCUCCUAAACCCAUCCGUAGUUCGGAUUGUGGGCUGCAACUCGCCCACAUGAAGCUGGAAUCUGUAGUAAUCGUGUCUCAAAAUGGCACGGUGAAUAUGUCCCUGCUCCUU
rnacentral:rRNA from 1 species